GUAUGGUUUACCAUUGAUGCUUUAUGCAUUUAUUUGAAAGUUUGCUACUUUGUUCUUUGUGUGAUGAACUGAUGAUGAUGCAUUAUGCGAUUUACAGUUGCUUGAAUUCUUAAGAGUUUGCAAUGUAGGUCUGAUUGUUGGCAUGUUGCAUUAGUGUUAUUGUAGGAUCAAUAUGUGGAUACUCCUGGUUCUUAUUUGACUCUAAACAAGCCUAGAAUAGAACAAGCCGAUGUUAAAUCAAACCAGAAAUUCAGAUUUAGUUGAAUCCACUGUUAGUAUACUUUAUAUAUUGUUCACUUCUUCAGCUUCAAUACACAUGUUAGUUAAUAUAGACUCAGUUGCUUCUAUAUAAGCUAACGUGUAUUGAAGCUGAAGAAGUGAACAAUAUGUAAGUUUACUACAGAACACUUUCUGAAAUGUACUUGUUUCUAAUACAUAUAUAUUCUUCAUUUGAUGCAUAAAACUUACUAUCUAGUAUAACAUGCAAAAGCAUUAUCUUAUACUUUCAAGUUUUUGGCCCUAAAUUAAUCAAUUUGACUGCUUUAUUAAGUUAACUUUGUUGACUACCGGUGAUAUGUCUAUAAACUCUCCAGAGGGCUGUACAUGUUGCCUUUGUACUCUAGGGACCCAAGAGCUGUAUAUGUAGAAUCACAUCUAGAAUCGCAGUGAGGUUAGCGGUUAGCUCUUGGGUCUUUUUCAUAUGAUCCAGCUUGAAGAUUGUCUUACAGGUUCUGAUUCACUGUGUUGGCUCGAACUCUUUUCCUUUUAAAAAGUCAUGAGUCAGCUCUUAGGUCUUUUCAUAUGAUCCAGCUUGAAGACUGUCUUGAAGUUUCUGAGAUACUGUGGUGACUUGUUCUCUUUCAUGCCUGCAUCGAAAUUUCUUAACUGUAUUGUUAACAAACAGGCCUAGUCUCUUCUUAACCAUAAUCUCGACCACUAUUUCUAUCUUGUAUGCCAAUAGUGUCCCUUUGGUCGACCUUGAGUAUAAUCAUCACUAAUUCCAGGUAGUCCUAUGUCUAAAGAGUUGAGGAUUAGUUCUCCUUCCCUGAAAAUGUCGUAAAGGUUUGUAACUUUGUACAGACUUUAUACAUUCAUCUUCCAUAUAAAUUUUGAGGAUGAGUUCUCCCUGCAAUUUUACUUUGAGA